AGUUACAAGAGAAACAACUGACGGUAACAAGGAAAGGGCGAUUUCUUAUCGACAGUUGCAACAGCUGCUAAUGCAGCGAAGCUCGUUGCGCAAUACGGAUGUCCGAUCGUUAGACUGGCACACACCCAAUGCAACAACGAACAAAAUCCAGGUGGAUACAACCAGAAACUAAUUGAUGCCACUUGGGAACAUGUUACCAAAGACAUCGAUCAAGGUGAUGGAGCU